rnacentral:ncRNA from 2 species
GACAGAGUAAGUAAAAUGCGUUAAGUGUUAAGGAAUGGGAAGUUGUCCUUAAACGAAAGAAUUUUUUCUGCGAUAUUUUACUGCAUCCGCUGUU